rnacentral:rRNA from 1 species
GACGAACGCUGGCGGCGUGCCUAAUACAUGCAAGUCGAACGCAUUUUCUUUCACCGUAGCUUGCUACACCGAAAGAAAAUGAGUGGCGAACGGGUGAGUAACACGUGGGUAACCUGCCCAUCAGCGGGGGAUAACACUUGGAAACAGGUGCUAAUACCGCAUAAUUCCAUUUACCGCAUGGUAGAUGGAUGAAAGGCGCUUUUGCGUCACUGAUGGAUGGACCCGCGGUGCAUUAGCUAGUUGGUGGGGUAACGGCCUACCAAGGCUGCGAUGCAUAGCCGACCGGAGAGGGGGAUCAGCCACACUGGGACGGAGACACGGCCCAGACUCCUACGGGAGGCAGCAGUAGGGAAUCUUCGGCAAUGGACACAAGUCUGACCGAGCAACGCCGCGUGAGUGAAGAAGGUUUUCGGAUCGUAAAACUCUGUUGUUAGAGAAGAACAAGGAUGAGAGUGGAAAGUUCAUCCCUUGACGGUAUCUAACCAGAAAGCCACGGCUAACUACGUG